AUUGAACGCUGGCGGCAGGCCUAACACAUGCAAGUCGAGCGGAGCGGCGGACGGGCGAGUAAUGCCUAGGUAUCUACCUGGCUGAGGGGGAUAACGUCCGGCAACGGGCGCUAAUACCGCAUACUAUCAGACGAGCCUAGGUCGGAUUAGCUAGUUGGUGGGGUAAAGGCCUACCAAGGCGACGAUCCGUAACUGGUCUGAGAGGAUGAUCAGUCACACUGGAACUGAGACAAGGUCCAGACUCCUACGGGAGGCAGCAGUGGGGAAUAUUGGACAAUGGGCGAAAGCCUGAUGCAGCCAUGCCGCGUGUGUGAAGAAGGUCUUCGGGUUGUAAAGCACUUUAAGUUGGGAGGCGUUACCAACAGAAGAAGCACCGGCUAACUUCGUGCCAGCAGCCGCGGUAAUAC
rnacentral:rRNA from 1 species